GGGGGCGACCUGGUUUCGACGUGGGUUGCAAUUCCUGAGGUGCAUGUCGAGCUUUUAGUAACUCGUUAAAUUACUAAAAAACUAUAAACGCUGAAAAUAAACCUUUAGCCCUAGCAGCCUAACUGCCGCUAGCUUCACUCAGAGUAGGCUUAUAUGCUUUGUACUGAAGUCAUAAUGAUAAGACCGCAGUGUAUAUUCUUGUUAUUACACUGUUAAAUUAAAACAAGACAGUUAUUAAGUAGAUUGUUUGUCGUCAGCUUAAUAAUUAAAUUAAAGAUAAACUAAACAUGUAGUGCCAAUGGCUGAGUUCUCUCGGACGCGGGUUCGAUUCCCGCCGCCUCCAAAU
rfam:Euryarchaeota archaeon TMED117 48501, whole genome shotgun sequence.